UCGUAACAAGGUUUCCGUAGGUGAACCUGCGGAAGGAUCAUUACAGUAGUCAUCCGGGUUGCCGCAAGGCCUCCCGGGUAACCUACCACCCUUUGUUUAUUACACUUUGUUGCUUUGGCAGGCCUGCCCUCGGGCUGCUGGCUCCGGCCGGCGAGCGCUUGCCAGAGGACCUAAACUCUGUUUGUCUAUACUGUCUGAGUACUAUAUAAUAGUUAAAACUUUCAACAACGGAUCUCUUGGUUCUGGCAUCGAUGAAGAACGCAGCGAAAUGCGAUAAGUAAUGUGAAUUGCAGAAUUCAGUGAAUCAUCGAAUCUUUGAACGCACAUUGCGCCCCCUGGUAUUCCGGGGGGCAUGCCUGUCCGAGCGUCAUUACAACCCUCAAGCUCAGCUUGGUAUUGGGCCCCGCCGCUCCGGCGGGCCCUAAAGUCAGUGGCGGUGCCGUCCGGCUCCGAGCGUAGUAAUUCUUCUCGCUCUGGAGGUCCGGUCGUGUGCUCGCCAGCAACCCCCAAUUUUUUUCAGGUUGACCUCGGAUCAGGUAGGGAUACCCGCUGAACUUAAGCAUAUCAAUAA
rnacentral:misc_RNA from 1 species